AAUAGAUACCCCGGUAGUCCACGCCGUAAACGAUGAGUGCUAAGUGUUAGAGGGUUUCCGCCCUUUAGUGCUGCAGCUAACGCAUUAAGCACUCCGCCUGGGGAGUACGGCCGCAAGGCUGAAACUCAAAGGAAUUGACGGGGGCCCGCACAAGCGGUGGAGCAUGUGGUUUAAUUCGAAGCAACGCGAAGAACCUUACCAGGUCUUGACAUCCUCUGCCAACCCUAGAGAUAGGGCGUUCCCCUUCGGGGGACAGAGUGACAGGUGGUGCAUGGUUGUCGUCAGCUCGUGUCGUGAGAUGUUGGGUUAAGUCCCGCAACGAGCGCAACCCUUGAUCUUAGUUGCCAGCAUUCAGUUGGGCACUCUAAGGUGACUGCCGGUGACAAACCGGAGGAAGGUGGGGAUGACGUCAAAUCAUCACGCCCCUUAUGACCUGGGCUACACACGUGCUACAAUGGAUGGUACAAAGGGCUGCAAGACCGCGAGGUCAAGCCAAUCCCAUAAAACCAUUCUCAGUUCGGAUUGUAGGCUGCAACC
rnacentral:rRNA from 1 species